rnacentral:tRNA from 1 species
GCCGAUAUGGUGGAAUGGUAGACACGAGAGAUUCAAAAUCUCUUGCUUCACGGCGUCCCGGUUCGAGUCCGGGUAUCGGUACCA